GAUUUAAUGUAUACUGUGGGUCAAGGUGCCUGUUCACAAAGGAGCAAAUAGUGUUCCUCAAGAGCUGGACAAUUACAAACCAACACAGAGGAUAGUGAAAAUCUGAUGGAUUAAAACAGCAUAAUAGACUUACAGCCUUUACAAAACUCCAUGGGAUGUUGCUGGGGUGAAAAUCAGCAAUUUUGAAUUCUGAAGUGAAUAAAGAAAACAUGUCACAAAGUACAACAGAACUUUCAUGAUAUCUAUCAAGAGAUGAAGAGUGAAAU